UCCAGACUCCUACGGGAGGCAGCAGUGAGGAAUAUUGGUCAAUGGGCGGAAGCCUGAACCAGCCAAGUCGCGUGAGGGAAUAAGGCCCUACGGGUCGUAAACCUCUUUUGCCGGGGAGCAAGGGCGGGGACGUGUCCCGGCCCGGAGAGUACCCGGAGAAAAAGCAUCGGCUAACUCCGUGCCAGCAGCCGCGGUAAUACGGAGGAUGCGAGCGUUAUCCGGAUUUAUUGGGUUUAAAGGGUGCGUAGGCGGACGCUUAAGUCAGCGGUAAAAUUGCGGGGCUCAACCUCGUCGAGCCGUUGAAACUGGGUGCCUUGAGUGGGCGAGAAGUAUGCGGAAUGCGUGGUGUAGCGGUGAAAUGCAUAGAUAUCACGCAGAACUCCGAUUGCGAAGGCAGCAUACCGGCGCUCAACUGACGCUCAUGCACGAAAGCGUGGGUAUCGAACAGGAUUAGAUACCCUUGUACU
rnacentral:rRNA from 1 species